rnacentral:misc_RNA from 1 species
UGAUGGGAUAGGACUUCCUCU